AUUGAACGCUGGCGGCAGGCCUAACACAUGCAAGUCGAGCGGAUGAAGGGAGCUUGCUCCUGGAUUCAGCGGCGGACGGGUGAGUAAUGCCUAGGAAUCUGCCUGGUAGUGGGGGAUAACGUCCGGAAACGGGCGCUAAUACCGCAUACGUCCUGAGGGAGAAAGUGGGGGAUCUUCGGACCUCACGCUAUCAGAUGAGCCUAGGUCGGAUUAGCUAGUUGGUGGGGUAAAGGCCUACCAAGGCGACGAUCCGUAACUGGUCUGAGAGGAUGAUCAGUCACACUGGAACUGAGACACGGUCCAGACUCCUACGGGAGGCAGCAGUGGGGAAUAUUGGAGAAUGGGCGAAAGCCUGAUCCAGCCAUGCCGCGUGGGGGAAGAAGGUCUUCGGAUUGUAAAGCACUUUAAGUUGGGAGGAAGGGCAGUAAGUUAAUACCUUGCUGUUUUGACGUUACCAACAGAAUAAGCACCGGCUAACUUCGUG
rnacentral:rRNA from 1 species